UUAUGGCCAUAUCAUGUUGAAACAUCGGUUCCCAUACAAUUACUGAAGUUAAGCAACAUUGAGCUUGAUCAGUACCUAGAUGGGUGACCAAUUGGGAAUACCAGGUGCUGUAAG